rfam:Myotis davidii contig46525, whole genome shotgun sequence.
GGCAGUUCUCAGGUGAUGCAACCCAGAAUCAGGCUCCCUCCUCUCUGGCUCCAGGAUGGUCAUCCGAGAAUCGCA